rnacentral:tRNA from 1 species
GUCUUAGUAGUAUAAAUAUUACACUGGUUUUGUAAACCAGAAAUGGAAGAACCCCCCCCCUAAGACA